rnacentral:rRNA from 1 species
GGAGUCUGGUCCGUGUCUCAGUACCAGUGUGGGGGACCUUCCUCUCAGAACCCCUAUCCAUCGUCGGCCAGGUGGGCCGUUACCCCGCCUGCAACCUAAUGGAACGCAUCCCCAUCCCUGUCCUUCACAUUUAGUGGAAACACCAUGCGGCGCAACCACGCCAUCGGGGGUUAAUCCUCAUUUCUAAGGGCUGUCCCCGGGACAGGGGCAGGUUGGAUACGCGUUACUCACCCAUCCGCCGGUCGCCGCCAGGAGUUGCAAGCAACUCCAGCGCUGCCCCUCGACUUGCAUGUGUUAAGCCUGUAGCUAGCGUUCAUC